rnacentral:rRNA from 1 species
UACGAAGGGGGCUAGCGUUGCUCGGAUUGACUGGGCGUAAAGGGCGCGUAGGCGGUUUGUACAGUCAGACGUGAAAUUCCCGGGCUCAACCUGGGGGCUGCGUUUGAUACGUGCAGACUUGAGUUCGGAAGAGGGUCGUGGAAUUCCCAGUGUAGAGGUGAAAUUCGUAGAUAUUGGGAAGAACACCGGUGGCGAAGGCGGCGACCUGGUCCGAUACUGACGCUGAGGCGCGAAAGCGUGGGGGAGCAAACAGG